rnacentral:rRNA from 1 species
UACGUAGGGGGCAAGCGUUGUCCGGAUUUAUUGGGCGUAAAGAGCGUGUAGGCGGCCAUGCAGGUCCGUUGUGAAAACUCGAGGCUCAACCUCGAGACGCCGGUGGAAACCGUGUGGCUAGAGUCCGGAAGAGGAGAGUGGAAUUCCUGGUGUAGCGGUGAAAUGCGUAGAGAUGCGGAGGAACACCGAUGGCGAAGGCAGCCCCCUGGGCUAGCACUGACGCUCAGGCACGAAAGCGUGGGGAGCAAACAGG